rnacentral:rRNA from 1 species
GAGAGUUUGAUCCUGGCUCAGAACGAACGCUGGCGGCGUGGAUAAGACAUGCAAGUCGAACGGAUUCAUAUGAGAUUAUAUCAAGUGUGGGUCAGUGGCGGACGGGUGCGUAACACGUGAGUAAUCUGCCGGAAGGAGGGGGAUAGCCCAUGGAAACGUGGAUUAAUACCCUGUGUGGCCUCAACAGGCAUCUGUUGACGGCCAAAGGUGGCGCAAGCUGCCGCCUUCCGAUGAGCUCGCGGCCUAUCAGCUUGUUGGCGGGGUAACGGCCCACCAAGGCGAUGACGGGUAGCUGGUCUGAGAGGAUGACCAGCCACACUGGAACUGAGACACGGUCCAGACACCUACGGGUGGCAGCAGUCGAGAAUCAUUCACAAUGGGCGAAAGCCUGAUGGUGUGACGCCGCGUGGAGGAUGACGGUCUUCGGAUUGUAAACUCCUGUCAUUUGGUUAACAAACCUACGUGGUUAAUACCCACGUAGCUGAUAGUAGCAAAAGAGGAAGGGACGGCUAACUCUGUGCCAGCAGCCGCGGUAAUACAGAGGUCCCAAGCGUUGUUCGGAUUCACUGGGCGUAAAGGGUGCGUAGGCGGCAUGGCAAGUUUGGUGUGAAAGCUCCGAGCUCAACUCGGAAAUUGCACUGAAAACUGCCAAGCUCGAGGAUCGGAGGGGACAUCGGAAUUCACGGUGGAGCAGUGAAAUGCGUGGGAUAUCGUGAGGAACACUUAGUGGCGAAGGCGGAUGUCUGGACUUUCCUGACGCUGAGACACGAAGGCUAGGGUAGCGAACGGGAUUAGAUACCCCGGUAGUCCUAGCAGUAAACGGUGCACGCUUGGUGUGGGAGGAUUCGACCCCUUCCGUGCCGGAGCUAACGCGUUAAGCGUGCCGCCUGGGGAGUACGGCCGCAAGGCUAAAACUCAAAGAAAUUGACGGGGACCCGCACAAGCGGUGGAGUAUGUGGCUUAAUUCGAUGCAACGCGAAGAACCUUACCUGGGCUUGACAUGCAUCCCUAAACCGGUGAGAGAGCCGGGGAGCUCUUUUGAGCAGUUUGCACAGGUGCUGCAUGGCUGUCGUCAGCUCGUGUCGUGAGAUGUUGGGUUAAGUCCCGCAACGAGCGCAACCCCUGUGUCCUGUUGCCAGCACGUAAUGGUGGGGACUCUAUUCAGACUGCCCAGGUCAACUGGGAGGAAGGUGGGGAUGACGUCAGGUCAGUAUGGCCCUUACGCCUUGGGCUGCACACGUACUACAAUGCCCAGUACAAUGAGAACCGAUACCGCGAGGUGGAGGAAAUCUAUAAAACUGGGCCCAGUUCGGAUUGGAGGCUGCAACUCGCCUCCAUGAAGUUGGAAUCGCUAGUAAUGGCACAUCAGCUACGGUGCCGUGAAUACGUUCCCGGGUCUUGUACACACCGCCCGUCACAUCAUGGAAGCCGAUCGCACCCGAAGUAUCUGCGCUAACUAUUUAUAGAAGCAAGGUCCUAAGGUGUAGUUGGUAACUGGGAUGAAGUCGUAACAAGGUAGCCGUAG